rnacentral:rRNA from 1 species
AUUGAACGCUGGCGGCAUGCCUUACACAUGCAAGUCGAACGGUAACAGGUCUUCGGAUGCUGACGAGUGGCGAACGGGUGAGUAAUACAUCGGAACGUGCCCGAUCGUGGGGGAUAACGGAGCGAAAGCUUUGCUAAUACCGCAUACGAUCUACGGAUGAAAGCAGGGGACCGCAAGGCCUUGCGCGGACGGAGCGGCCGAUGGCAGAUUAGGUAGUUGGUGGGAUAAAAGCUUACCAAGCCGACGAUCUGUAGCUGGUCUGAGAGGAUGAUCAGCCACACUGGGACUGAGACACGGCCCAGACUCCUACGGGAGGCAGCAGUGGGGAAUCUUAGACAAUGGGCGCAAGCCUGAUCUAGCCAUGCCGCGUGAGUGAAGAAGGCCCUCGGGUUGUAAAGCUCUUUUGUACCGGAAAGAAAACGCGACCGGGUUAAUACCCUGGUGUCCUGACGGUACCGGAAGAAUAAGCACCGGCUAACUUCGUGCCAGCAGACCG